AAAAAAAAAAAAAAGGAAGCAGGAUGAUAACUAAGGAAGAAAACCCAAGCCGAGGGUCUGACCCUGCAAAUCUUUACUAGCCCAAGUAGAUUUUACUUGGGUGAGUAGCCAAAUUCAGUGGAUACAACUGAUCUGUUUGCAAGCAAACUAAAAUGAAGAUUGAAGUGCGAUAAGGGAACAUUCUUGACCCAAAUCAGCCUCUGAGAGAGGCUUUGACUUCACCACAAGUUUAAUUUUAUAUUUAGCAAACAAAAUUUUGCUUUUACAAUGGAUUUAUAACAAAUAAUUGACUAUCGAAGACUCACAUUUGUCAGCCCCACAGGAGAAUAGGGGCUAAAAACCCAGAACCAAAUGCUGAAUGCCUUAGUCACACCUUAGCAGAGUUCACUGAGGUAAAACAUUCAUUGAAGUCAAUGGGAUUUUGCCUUAGUAACAACUGUAAGAUUUAGUGGUUCCCUUGAAUUUACUAAGAAUUAGAGUAUUCCAGAAGAGAUAAUGAAAAAACUGACUAAAUAAGACGGGACCUCGGGGUCAGGAGAAUCAGUGGCAUGAAGAGAGUAGGAGGGUAAGUUUGCUGAUGGUGAGACGGUAAAGCUGUAAGCAGAAACAAGACAAUGAGAACCCGGUAAAGCAAGAGCUGCAUUUCAUUCUGUCUCCUUUUACAAUGUGACUAACGUCUAGCACUUCUGUAUUUGGUAGUGCCUUUUCUUCGGAGGAUCUCAACGGGUUUCUUAUGCACACAUGGAGAAUAUCUGCACCCCUUUGAAGCAGCUGGUCCAGGAAAAGCUAUUACCUCACCCAGCCUGUCUCUCUAAUAUCCUGGGAAUGACACAGCUUCAACAACACUGCAUUCAACACCCCUGUUGGACAGUGAUGGACGUGGACAAUAGGCCAACGACACCAACCAGGAACUAAACCCAUGGCGGAGGAUUUACAAAGUGAGGGCCUCUGGAAUAGUUCCCUUUCCAGGCUGCUGUCACAGAUUUGACACCAAGAAGGUAUCAGAAGUGAUCGAAGAACUUGACAGGAAUGCGAGAAGUGCCAUCCGCGCAUGGAAUAUGGAACCUCAAACUUCUUCUUAUGUAUUCAGCUCCCUUUGUUCACAAGUGUUAAUGAGGUAAUACAUUUUAAAAAAAAAGAGAAGUUAUGAUCAGAAACAGCUAGGAUGAAGGAAAGGAAUUCCCCUGCUUUCUGGGCGACUAGCAAACGUUUUAACAUGAAGCAGCCUGGUCUUCUCCAUAGCACAGAGUUAAAGUAAGUCUAAUAUCCUUUUAGAUCUGAUGAUAUGUUACCAACCAAGAUUCUAAUGUGAAUUCAUUCAUUAACUUCUUUUAAUGGAACCUUUUAGCAUCCUUUCUCUGCCCCCCUUCCUCAAAUUUGCAGUUCAAAUGAAAGAGAACAUAUUAACUUUCUAAAGUGCACCAUUAUUAUUGUUAUUGUAGUAGUACUUAGGAGCCCUAGUUGUGGACCAGGAUUCCACUGUGCUAGGUGCUGUACAAACACAGCACAAAAAGAUGGUCCCUGCCCCAAAGAGCUCACAAUCUAAGUAGAGUGACUACUACAUUGAGAGCGCAGCAUGAAUAUUGCCUCUUGAUAUCACAGAUGCUGCAGAACAAACACAAUUACCUGGAAACAAUCCCUUUUACUGAGCAAUUUGAGCCUAUUUUUAAGCAUGUCUAGCAUCCAAGUGCAGGUUUCCAAUCUAAACCAAAUGCAAAUGCCCCGCAGAUCAAAACUGAAAUUCCUGGUAAAUUCAUGUGAUCUCCUGGUGAGUAAUCUCUAAAGGAAUUUUAAUGCACACCCAGAAGAAUGUUGAGUGAAAUCCUUAAAUUGAAACUAAUGAGCGAUUAGGGUUUAGCAUGUCAGUCUUACUCAACAAGAGGACAUCCCCUUGACAUUAAGUAUCAGAGGGGUAGCCGUGUUAGUCUGGAUCUGUAAAAAGCG